AGUGUACCAUAGCCUAAAUAUGAAUCAACAGUGUAACACAGUUGCAAAAAAGGCAAAUGUCAUUCUGGUAUGUAUCAGCAGGAGCGUUGUAAGCGAGACACGAGAAUUAAUUCUUCCACUCUACUCCACAUCUGAUAAGGCAUCAGCUGGAGUACUGUGUCCAGUUCUGGGCA